GAUGAACGCUGGCGGCGUGCCUAAUACAUGCAAGUCGAGCGAACGGACGAGAAGCUUGCUUCUCUGAUGUUAGCGGCGGACGGGUGAGUAACACGUGGAUAACCUACCUAUAAGACUGGGAUAACUUCGGGAAACCGGAGCUAAUACCGGAUAAUAUUUUGAACCGCAUGGUUCAAAAGUGAAAGACGGUCUUGCUGUCACUUAUAGAUGGAUCCGCGCUGCAUUAGCUAGUUGGUAAGGUAACGGCUUACCAAGGCAACGAUGCAUAGCCGACCUGAGAGAGUGAUCGGCCACACGGGAACUGAGACACGGUCCAGACUCCUACGGGAGGCAGCAGUAGGGAAUCUUCCGCAAUGGGCGAAAGCCUGACGGAGCAACGCCGCGUGAGUGAUGAAGGUCUUCGGAUCGUAAAACUCUGUUAUUAGGGAAGAACAUAUGUGUAAGUAGCUGUGCACAUCUUGACGGUACCUAAUCAGAAAGCCACGGCUAACUACGUG
rnacentral:rRNA from 1 species